AUACGUAGGGGGCGAGCGUUGUCCGGAAUGAUUGGGCGUAAAGGGCGCGUAGGCGGCGCGGUAAGUCUGGAGUGAAAGUCCUGCUUUCAAGGUGGGAAUUGCUUUGGAUACUGCCGCGCUUGAGUGCAGGAGAGGUUAUCGGAAUUCCCGGUGUAGCGGUGAAAUGCGUAGAGAUUGGGAGGAACACCAGUGGCGAAGGCGAUUUACUGGAAUGUAACGGACGCGGGGGCGCAAAAGUGUGGGGAGCAAACAGGAUUAGAUCCCCCGGUAGUCCUAGCCGUAAACGAUGGAUUCUAGGUGUGGGUGUCGCAGGGCAUCCGUGCCGCAGCUAACGCGUUAAGUAUCCCGCCUGGGGACUACGGUAGCAAGACUGAAACUCAAAUGAAUUGACGGGG
rnacentral:rRNA from 1 species